CGCGGGGCGGGGCCUGCGCCCGCCGGCCGUGAGGGGCAGGGACGGGCCGGGAGCGAGGGGAACGGGAACGGCGCCGUGGGACUAAAGGGAACAGCGCCGUGCCCAGCCCCGCGGGAACACAGCACCAGCGUCAGGGAGGAGGAGUGGACGUGAUAGUACUUCCAGUCUGGUUCCGAUUCCCUGCCACUGGCCGGGGCGCCUUCCACUAGACCAGCUUGCUCAGAGCUCCAUCCAAAUUGGCUUUGAACGCCUCCAGGGCUGGGCUAGCCAGAGCUGCUCUGGGUGACCUGUGCCAGUGUCUCAUCACGUUCCCACUCCCCUUCAGACACUGCAGUGAGGUCUUCACACAAACUUCUCCAGGCCUGAAGAGCCCCAGCUUUCUCAGCCUGUUGUCAUAGGGCAUUUCAAGAUCACCAACAGAGUAGCGACAGACCUCACUCCAGGUCCUGAUGAACGCAGCUUGAACCCAAACUCAACUUACAGCUUUGUUAGGACGUGAGUCUACAACAACCAACUUACAUCAUGUUGAAGGCAACGAUUUUUCCAACUGACCCUUACCACCCUUAGCUCAAGCACAGCCCAAAGAGCAGAAGGUAUUGGAGCAUAAGAGCCAGCCAGCAACUUGAAGGCUGAAGGGCUUGUUCAGGAAGUGCUUAGAAAGCAGGAAAGAUGAGACAUCCUGCUGCUUUUCUGGCAUGAGGUCCUGGUUCACGUUACCCUCCAUCACCAGUGCAAGCUUUUCUCCACUGCAAUUCUAGGCUUUUAUUUACGCAGCGACUUGGCAAACUACUUUGUGGCCUUUCUUGACAAAGCCUUCAUAUUUUGCAUAGCAUCCCAGAAGUGGCCCAGAAAAGCAGAGUCAGGGCAGACAAGAGAAGCACUUACACAGUCAAAUCUCUAGAGCUUAGCUGAGGACAUGGGAGAAAACUACAAAUAACCCUGUUAAACUCACUGUUCUAGGACAAAGCAGAAUUCACAUCUCAACACAAAAAGCAAAGGACUACUUGAAAACCUGUAAGUGCAUUAAAAUACUGCACUUCUGCUUGCACUAAGCAAUGCACACAGAGGUAAAAUCUCUGCAUGGAAAGACAGCAGGCUGCCCAACAGAUGCACACAUCUCCUCUUGGUCUCUGCCAGCUCAGCAGAGCGAGGUGAACAGAACAGAACCUGACAGGGCUCUGGCCAAAGCCCCCAUCCUGGGGUGCUGCAGGACUCUCCCCACAGCACCCACACCACUGCCAAAUGCUUCUGGAGCAGUGGCUUGCCAGGGAACUGCACACCACACACAUCAGCUGCAUACCUGAAGGACCAAUACCGACAAAGACUGCAUAGCUGUGACACUGCCACGUCCAAGAACAUGUCUGUUCUGAGGCGAAGCCUCGCUGGACAUUUUCAUGGUAAAUCUUUGCAAAAGCAAAGUUGAAUUCAGUCUAAAAUGUACACAGAGAAGCCUAAUGUUUUCCAAUGACAAGAUCAUUCUUAUUUGUAGGAUCCAGAAAUACCUAAUGUUCCUUCCUCCACGGAGAGGAGGAAUACAACACUGGUUUGUGGUAUGAAGCAUUACUCCAGGCAAAGUCAUUUGAAGAACAAGUAACAAAAGCCUUCACUAAAAAAAGAAAGAUUCACAAAGCUAGCAAGUCACCUGGAAACACUUCUCUGUCAGUACAAGUUCUGUCAAGAGCCUCCACUGAAAAUCUCAAUGCAAGGCAAUGGAAUUUCGGACAUACUAUAAAAGAUUCAGCAAAAAGCAUCCAAGUGUAAGCACUACAUGGCCAAUAAACACCAUUAUCAGAUUCAGUGCCUGUCACAGUUCAGCAGCUCAUAGAUAAAAGAUGUCAAAUCAAUUCUCUAACAAGAGGUUUGAGCAGAGAAACCAUUGCUGAUAACAGUAUCACACAAGGAGACACAGAGCCCAGUAUCCAUUUGUACUACACAAGCAUUAUUUUAUGGUUGAAAGCCCUGAAUCAGCUCUCCAAGUCACAGCUGCAGGUCUUUGCAUUUCCUCAAGGCAGUCACAGGAGGCAACUGGACUGCAGGUUCCCAGGGACAGGGAAUGUCUGCUGUCACCUGCCUGAGGUCACAGGAAGGACCAAACCUUCCUAUGACCAGUAUUGUUCUAACAGAGACAACAGCAUCCCACAACAUUUAUCAUGAUGUAUUUAAAGGCAACAGCUCCUCCAGACAACACCAUUUCUUACACUAACCACCUACCCUUCACUCUUGGUAGCUGGGAGCUGCUUCUUCAGAGUUUCUUUAUCUUCAGCUUUCAGGAUGCUGAAGCCCAGGAGCUGGGUGGCCCCGUAGGCCGGGAGGAAGCCCAGCUCAGCUCGGCGGCUCACGAAGCACUCCGGGUGGUACCAGUUAUCGAUCAUCCCCAGCUGCGGCUUCUCAGGAUGCACCAUCUUCUUGGAAAUCCGGAUCUGGCCCUGAGGGAGAUGGAAGUGACACAAGAGCAACUGUUAGGCCAUUCUGGAAGGAGCAGGAUGUUAACGAGUUACCAACAUGAUGCUUCCUAGAAACCUGUAAAGCAGUAACAGUUCCUCUAUCAAAGUCUGCAACUUUUGUUCAAACCCUUUCACUACAUUUCUCUACCAUUUUCAAGUACUCUUGCUAGGUUGAAAAAGCCACCUUUUAAGACAGUUUUCUGUUCAAAACCCACUCAAACUGGGUAAGCCUGUUGUCUUUAUUCCAACUUCCAGUAAGCUUACCAAGUAAAACUCACAUGAACAAGCCUCAUAAAGGCACAUGUCAAAAUUAACUUUAUGUCCCUAUCACUCAAACAUCAAUGCUAUCAUGAUCUUAUCCUGUUUUACUGCAAAUUACUUUUCAGAUGUCCAACAAGCAGAUGGUUUGCAGUGCAAACAAGCAGGAAAAGCUGCAGUUAGUGGUGGCUCUCUUGCCACCAAAAUGUUGGUGAGCAGCAUUCCCAGCCUGCUCUAAGACCCAAGUGAAAGGAGGGAUCACCAGGCUGGAAGCUCAGGCUACCAUGCCUGAGGGAUGCCUUUACUGUCAGCUGUCCAGGACACAGCUGCUGCUCACACAUAGAAAUGCAGCUCUGCAAGUGCUUUCCAUAUGCAGGACAGACAGGAAGCAAUUAUAAAAGCCACUGUUUGAAUUAAAACUGGUGAGAGAAAAGAUGAGAUGGAGAACUUUUUUACCUUUUCUAUUUUCUGCUCACAGCCUUUGCAUGUGCUUCUGUUAGACUUGGCAUAUUCUGCAGCGAAGUCAUUUAGGCUCUUCUCAGCUUUACCACCUCCUUCCUGUUCCCCUCCUUUUCCUGGAGAACAAAGCAAAUACAGAAUUCAGCUUUAAUAUGCAUUCCCUUAUUUUCUUAUUCUCUGUCCCAGAUUGUUAGCAGUCUGCAUUAAUAAACCUCUUGGGUUCCAGCCACUCAUUUGUCCAGAAUUUAAACAGAGAGCAAGACAAGCAAUCCAUGCUCAAAAGCACCACAGAGCCACCAUAACCAUGCACUGAACUGAAGGUACCAUUGAGAAAACAAGAGUACAACAGCAUCUGUUAACAUUAAAGAACUGAAAAUUAAAUACACCAAUCAUGAUAACAAGAAAUGUUUUUCAAUGUAUCUGCCAACCGACUUGGCUUUUUCUCCUCACUGAUUUAACAUGCUGGAUGAUACUGUCAGCAUCCCAGCCCUGGAGUGUGGAGACAUCUCAGCAAUUCUUCUGGCAUCACCUGCUGAAGCAACGUGGCCAUCAAAUCACCAUAAUAACAGCACAACAAAAGAGAACACAGCUCCAGAUGAACCUCCAAACACCAUGAGGCUUCUGCCUACCUCCUCCAGGGCCUCCAGUUUCAAUGGCUUUCUUGAUUUUCUCCUGAUCUUCCCAUCGAAGCUCGGGGAAGCCGUCAAUGUCUGCGUGGGACACAAUUCGAGCCCGCUUCCAGAAGCAGCUGUAGUGGUGCCAGUGAGGGACUUUGCCAUCAAACAUGGGUGACUAGCAAAAAAGCACAUCAGGCCAAGGUGAAACAAUUCAAGCAGAAUCAAGGGGAAAAACAAAACAAAGCCCAAACUAAAAAGGAGUAUCUGGGUAAACACAUGCAAUUUCUUCUUUUUAUUUUUCUUCAAAUCAAGAGCUGAAUACUAUUUAGGACAAAGUCUAAGAAGAAAAUCUAAUAAGACAGACAAGCUGCUGGAGAGAUGUUCCCAAAGCGGAAAGACCUGGAAGGAGCAUUUAGCUAGCUUAACUAGUUCAUCACCCUGCUGCUCAGCCCAUCUGUUUUACUGAAAGAAAAAACAAGUCCCAAGCUUAGGAUGGCUGCACCAGCCCCUGUGAGACCGUGCAGCACAAAAGGCUGCUGACCUCACUCCCUUUGAGAGCCCCUUCUCAAGUAAACAGUCUGUAUACUGGAGAACCCACGGCAGGCACAAGAUAACGAGGGCAGCUCCAAGGAUUGUGGCCUGAGGAAACUCCUGAAUGGCCUGCAGGAGGUAGAGACAAAUUCAAUGGAAACGCCAGAGCCCAGUUAAAGUUCUGCAUCAGAGGCUGACAGCAGGCCACAAAGAUGAUCAGAGGGUUGAAGAACCUCUCCUGUGGAGACAGGCUGAGAGAGUUUGGGUAGUUCAGCCUGCAGAAGGCUCCAGGGCUAUCUUACAGCACUUUCCAAUACCUGAAGUGGGCCUACAAGAACGCUGGAGAGGGAGUUUUCACAAAGGCUUGUAGUGAUAAGGUGGUGUGGCAUUGGGAAAGGCUGCCCAGAGAAGCUGUGGAUGCCCCAUCCCUGGAAAUGCUCAAGGCCAGGUUGGAUGGGGCUCUGAAGAACCUGAUGUAGUGGGGGGCAUCCCUGUCCACUGCAGGGGAUUGGAACUAGAUUAUCUUCAGGGCCCCUGUCAGACCAAACUAUUCCAUGAUCCUGUGAUCAGGACAGAAGCAUCACCCAAGUCCUCCCUGGAGUGCAGCUCCAGAGUGCCCUGCCCCACACAAGCACUUGUUUUGCAAGUACCACACUUGUUUAAAACUCAGACACAGUAGGUACUGUCCUGGCAUCACUCCAGUUACCCCCCAGGCAAAAUAACCUCACAGUGGUUUGGCUCCAAAUAACACACACAAACAGCUGCUGUACUAAUAAUACUCAGUGCUGUGUAAUUAUAAUUACUGAUGAUACAGAACUAACGACCUAGGAAAGUCUUCCAUGUGUCACUCACUAACAGGAGGGAGUUAAAAACAAGCCAAAACCAACAGCAGAGUUUUGUGCAUGAGCAGGAAGGAAAAGGAAAGGGCUUCGAAAACCACAGCAUGGAACCAGGAGAUCUGAGAGCCCAAACUACAGCCAACCAUCUGCCCAAACUGUAAGAGGACAUUUUUAUUUCCAGAUGGGCUCUUCCCACAAGCCAGGACUGCAUACCCAGCUACCCUCACAGCAUCACAGCAGCCACCCUGCAGUUGCUCUCAAUGUGUCUGCAAGUCACAUGCAGUUUUGGCACUGCAACGUGGACUCUGGGCUUGUGUCUAGAGCUGUGCAGGAGGACUCGAGGCUGUCCCAACACAAAGGCUUUGAGGGCACAAGGCACUGGGGGGUACAAAAGAGAGCAGAGCUGGCUCAAUCUUUAAGACAAUCAUACAAGCAGUGAGUAAUCUCCUCAACAUGGAGUUUCAGACUCUUCUCUGUGUGGAAAAUGAAACCUCUAGGCAAGCUGGGCCUUGUUUACACAACUUCUCUCAGCUCACCUAUCUCUAGACCAUAGUUUCCUAAACAAACUAAGGAAAAAAGAGACCGAUUCACUUCCACAGUGCACGUUCAGAUAACAGAAACCGCUCAGUUCCAGCUGGAAGCAAAAGACAAAGCUGUGCUGGUCCUGCAGGGCCUGGGUGCCUAGGACACAGAAUCCCACUGUCAUUCAGAGCCCUUCACUUGAGGAACCAAAACAAAAGGGAGGUUAUGGCAGACACAACUGCAGCCAUGGUCUGUAUGUCUCUUUAAUUUCUUCAGCACAGUUUGCAGAAGAGCUCGAUGCACUGCCGCUGGCACAGAGGCUGCUCUGCAGGGGAUUUCCCCAGGAAAAAGCAAGGGACCCGCAUGCUCUGGUGAAAUUCAGGCAUUUACAGCGGGAUGCUCAGCAGCACGGUGUGCUCUGCUGGUACAAAAACUAGCAGAGGGCAGAGGGAAGAGCAAGCAAAUUCAAGAGGUUGUGGGGAAAAUAAAUAAAAAUACAAGUG